rnacentral:rRNA from 1 species
UACGUAGGGGGCAAGCGUUGUCCGGAUUUAUUGGGCGUAAAGAGCGUGUAGGCGGCCUGGUAGGUCAGCUGUGAAAACUCGAGGCUCAACCUCGAGACGCCGGUUGAAACCAUCAGGCUAGAGUCCGGAAGAGGAGAGUGGAAUUCCCGGUGUAGCGGUGAAAUGCGCAGAUAUCAAGUGGAACACCAGUGGCGAAGGCGAGUCCCUGGACAAUUCCUGACACUGAGGCACGAAAGCUAGGGGAGCAAACAGG